UUUGUUUUCGUUUCCCUCUCUAGUGUUCUUUUUUUCUUCUUCUUGAAUUUCAUCGACGAUAAAUAGCUUAAAAACUACACAAAAUCGGAGGAAAUUCAGGAGUCAAAGAAACUAGAGAAUUAAUAAUAUUUUUUGAGCUAAUAAAAUGAUAAUGGGAAAUGAAUCUCGGAGAUUGCUUCUUCUCGUAAUUUUUCUCUUGACGAUUCAACUUCGAGUUAACCCAGUCUUCGGGAUAUGCGAGCACAGCUUCAUUGACAGCUACAAGCUCUACAACUUUACCUUGGCUUCUCCUCUGCCUAGUUUCCCUCACGGCGUCCUCAUGCGAAGACGGGUUUUACAAGGUGUCAGUGAAUGAUACUGUGCUCUGGUUUCAGCUUUGUGGUGGAAUGAUUUUUAACCAUGAUCCACCUAGAUGUGCUGAGUGCUCGGACUGUGGAGGCCCAUCACAUUGUGGAACGGAAUGUAGUGCACUGGUGUCUGAACGUUCUGGAGGUUAAAUAUUU